rnacentral:rRNA from 2 species
AGCAUCCGUAGCCGGCUGUUCAAGUUUCCGGUUAAAUCCACACGCUUAACGUAUGGGCUGCCGGAAAUACUGUUCAGCUAGGGAGUGGGAGAGGUGGACGGUACUCGGUAGGAAGGGGUAAGAUCCUUUGAUCUAUUGAUGACCACCUGUGGCGAAGGCGGUCCACCAGAACACGUUCGACGGUGAGGGAUGAAAGCUGGGGGAGCAAACCGGAUUAGAUACCCGGGUAGUCCCAGCUGUAAACGAUGCAGACUCGGUGAUGCAUUGGCUUGUGGCCAGUGCAGUGCCGCAGGGAAGCCGUUAAGUUUGCCGCCUGGGAAGUACGUACGCAAGUAUGAAACUUAAAGGAAUUGGCGGGGGAGCACAAGCCG